UAUAUAUAUAUAUUUAAUUGAGAUGUUAGCUUAAUAUUCUGUCCGUGUGUAUUCAGAACAUCUUGUCCGCAGAAAAAUCCCUGAGUCAGAUGCCUGCUUUGGCCCUGCAAACCCUCCUACCGGCUGGCCAGGCUCCCACCCAGCACACCCUUCCCCUCAGGGGUCACCCGCCUAGCUGCUGCCACCUUCUGUCACCUCCGUGACUCAGACAGAGGGGCGCAGGGCAGAGGCAUUGCGUUGCACCCCAGGGCCCCCCCUUAGACAACUGCAGCAGGGAAGUUUUCUGGCUUCUAGACCGGCAGAAAGUCAAACGUCAGAUUGUGGAUUCAGACGCAUGAAUUUCACGGAAUGCUUUCUCAUCAAAACAACAGUCAUCUGCCUUGGGAGUCAAUCUGGGUGGACUGCCCAGCGGAGACCACGUGUGCCCUCAGCCCCCACUGACCCGCUCAAGGCAUCUGUCUCUCCUCAUUCCCCUCUCCCUGGCCACAGCCUUGGGGCCAGAGGAGGGUGUGGACCCUGGGCCCGGGGCAAACAGCAGGCUUUUCCCGUGGAGCAAAGGGACGCUGGAGCUGGUGCAGCCCUUUUGGCACCUUGAGCGCUCCCUUCCUUGGCUCAAACGAAAAAAUUUCCAUCGCGUUUUCCGGACACUCUGACAUCAGGAAGCCCUGAGUUCCAGCAUCAAAAUUAAAUGAAUUGGAGAAGCAUCGGGAGCUGUAUCCAAACACCGGGAACACGUCUUUGAAGGGCACAGGCUGCAACAGACAGAUGGACGAGGGAGGGAGCUCGACUCAGAACAGGCUUCUUGGUCUGCGUGCGUUAUACUGGUUCAGCCUGGGGACAGGGUGGGGACAGUGUGAGCCUGUUCGCGUCCGUGUAACACACACACACACACACACACACACUAGCCCUUCUCCCACUUUCUAGGGACGAUCCUUUGUUGACCACAGGGCUUUGUGUAUUUACCUGGAAAAACUGGGGUGGGUGGUGAAGGUGACGGCCACACACGUAUUCACGAAGGGGCGGAAGUCACCUUAAGGUGACAGGGUCCAGGUCCUGACUGAUGGAGCUCAAAAAGGCCAGAAGGGGGCAGUAUGAUCAGCAGUCUGGCUCCUGCUGGUGUCCUGCCUGGGGAGUCCAAAGAGGCGUAAAAAUCCUGCAGAAAUUCCUUGGGAACGCGAGCUGGGUGAGUCUGGACUGUGGAAACGGCACGCGGGGCUGAACGCCAGGUUUCCGGUCUCUGAGUCAGUUGGGUUAUCUCCUGCCCGGGUAGACGCUGGUUUUUCCAUUCCUUGGUUCCCAUAAAAUCGUUAAGCACUGAGGUUUUUGUAAUUCUGUGUCGUUCUGACACCUGCAAGCAAGUGGUGCAUGAGGGUGCAGGGGCACAAAAUAGUUGGGGGGCACCUAAACGGACGUGCCUUCUGUAAGAAAGACUCUGUCUUAUCUUUCUUUCCCCGGAAGCGGGGUGGGGACCCCUACCACUGUCAACACCUCGACCUCGUCCGGUCCUUCUCUCCUUCUGAAGAAUGAUUUCGGGGAGUUCGGUUUCCAAGGAGGAUACACAUAAAUGCACCAAGAACACCCCAAACCCACGCACAUUGCCUAGAAAUGCUCUCUGGGCUGUCCAAACCUGUAGUCGGGACGAUUUCUUAUAAGAUAAGGGGACCCUCCCGAACUGCAUUUGGAACACGAACGCUGUUUGUCUCUACGUGUGUUUCAACAAGGAAACAACCCUGUGUCUUCGCACCGUGUAGGUGGCCAGCAUCCCAGAGUGGCGUCUUCCCUGCUACAUGCGUUGUCCAUGACGGUCACGGUCAUGGGCCGGAAAGAGUUGUCCUAGACUUUUGGUGAGGCUAACUGCAUUCCAAAGGCUGUGCAUUGAGAUAACGAAACUCCUGGUCAUUUUUUACAUCUACAUGAACGUGGUCCAUGGCAAAAAUUGCAUCCGUGUUAAUUCUAAGACGUAUAAUGGUUCCAGUUAUGUGUAAGAUCCUACCCCAAAACUUAGCGGUUGAAGACACCCACACACGCAUUUGGCUACGAACGAACAAACCGAAAACCCUACAGUGUGGGAGGGCUUGGCCAACUUUGGCUGCUUGUGCAAACAUGAGUAAGAAUUUCAAGAUGGCGGCAGGAGACCGUUACACCAAGUGUGGAGCCCCCUUGUGACCCCAGGUGCAACUGCACACAUUCCCGAAAUCAGUUCUGGCUGAGAUGUUGGGUGAGGCUGUCCCACGGACACCACAUCACGAGCUUCCGGGAGGACAGAGGGAUGAAACCAGGUCAUCAUUUAUGAUCCAGUUGGGGCUGACGGCUGACGGGAGCCAAGGGUUGUUGGUAGGGAGACUGUUGUCGGCCACAGGUUGGCCGUCGAUCACUGACGAGCUCGGGUGGUUUCCCGUGAUCCGUCUUGUGGCAGGAAGCGUUUGACACGGGCCCACGGGUUGAAACAACCCCUGUCUCCUUCUGACGGUCCUCCUCUCGGGGGAUCCUGGCGAGGGGAUCCCAGUGUGGCAGGAUGUUUUUACCUCAAUGCCCGGGAUCUGUUGUCUUCCCGCGCCGGAGAAUGAAAAGAUUGAUGCAAAGUGAGCAGGAGGCAAAAAUCGAUUAGAAGAAAACAUCCGGAAGGAAGAAAAUGUGCAAACUGUCUUAACAGAGAGGAGGCACUCGAAAGUGAAUGCCCGAGGACGGCCCGCAACUUCCUUGUUUAUAAGGUUUUGGGUGCCCCCCUCCCCCCUCAUCUAUCUGCCUUAUUGGCUGCAGAAGUGUGGGUGCCGGGUUGCACGUUCCUGAUUGACUCACUUGCAGCGUAUGAGGGCUGCUCUGUGUCCCCGUGGGUCUUAACGUUUUAUGGCCUGCUAGUGAUUUUUAUUGUUUUUAUUUCAAAAAAGAUUUUGUUUCUUAAUCUUUAUAUAUUCUUGCGAGGCACAGAG